AAACAAAACACACCCCGUGCCGUGUCUCGGGCAACGUCCCAACUCCCAAGGCGAGCGAGAGCCAGCCCACCAUUUUUACGCCCGCUCUGUUUGCGUUGCGUCUUGCGUGCUCCCCUCCUUCCCUGCCUACUGCUCUACGCACACGCAGCCACUACUUGCCUUGCCAGUUGCGUCGCUGCUCAUCCCAGACUCCCAGCCCCAGUCCCGUACCCCAACCAUCUCCUCUGUCUCCGCCUCGUCGCUUCCGCCCACUCUUCCUCGCCGCUGCCUCACGGCCCCAUUGCUCCGAGCGCGGCGCCGGUCGCGAUCCGACCGGGGGUGCGCGGCGCCGAAUGGUGUGAUCGACCCCGUCGGGAAUUGGGAUCGAGGUCAUGCAGCGGGCUCCGGAGCGCCGCCGCGGCGCCGGGCCGCUCCUGCUGCUGGCGCUGCUCGUCGCAUUGGCGGCCGCGCCCAGACUCGUGCGCGCGGUCACCGACGCUACCGACGUCUCUGCCAUAAACGGACUGUACAUGUCACUGGGAUCACCACUUCUACCUGGAUGGACUGGAAAUGGUGGAGACCCGUGCGGUGAGAGCUGGCAGGGUGUUGUGUGUACCGGCUCUUCCAUAACUGGAAUAACCAUGAAUGCUGCAAACUUGGGAGGACAGUUGGGAAGUUUAGGAAACUUCACUGCCAUCACCAGCUUAGAGCUUAACAACAAUAAUAUUGGUGGAACCAUACCGGAGGACCUACCUGUUACAUUGCAGAGUCUUUUCCUCUCUGCUAAUCAACUUACUGGAAGCAUCCCAAGUUCACUGUCAAAACUCGAAAACUUAACAGCCAUGUCAGUCAACGGCAACCAUCUAAAUGGAGACCUACCAGACACUUUUGAUUCACUCAAUAGACUUGUAAAUUUGGAUAUUUCUUCGAACAACUUGAGUGGUGUGUUACCAUCUUCAAUGAAAAACCUGGCAUCUUUGACUUCAUUGCACAUGCAAGAUAAUCAACUGUCUGGGACCCUUAACGUUUUGCAGGAUCUCCCACUGAAAGACUUGAACAUAGAGAAUAAUCUUUUUUCUGGACCGGUGCCUGCGAGUUUGCUUAACAUACCAAACUUCAAAAAGGACGGGAAUCCAUUCAAUACCAGCAUCGUCCCAUCUGCAUCUCCGCCUUCAACAGGACCAGCUCCAACACCAGCAGCAUCAAAACCAGCUCCAACACCAGCACCCACCACUUCAAAUUCAACGCCCCCAGCACCAGCACCCUCAUUUCCUUCAAGAUCUCCUCCCCCGCCUAAAACAACCUCAAACUCUUCUGAAGGAUCAACUACCCGAGAUAGCACUUCACCAUCUAAGAAACACAGUACAUCAACCCUCAAGAUUGUUGGCUUUGUUCUUGCCGGAGUAGUGCUGUUUAUUAUCAUAGUCCUCCUAGUAUUAUUUUGUCUAUCCAAGUACCAAGAGAGACGGUCGAGAUAUGAUCAUAACAGAAGUCAGCAGGCAAGGGUGCAUCAUAGGGUUGAACCGCAAAUCAAGCCACCUCCAGUGCAACAAAGCAAUGAUCUUAAAAAAGGUUCAGGUGAGGUACUUGAUAGAAGGGGCCAUGAACUAAGUUCAUCAACGGCAGCUCUCGCAAAGAAAUCUCCUGAAAACCAAAAGGAGCAUGUAAUUAAUUUUGAUCGAACAGAUUCAGAUCUGUUUCCUGUUUCUCUACCACCACCACCUCCUCCACCUCCAUUACCCCCAAUUGAAAGAGUUAUUGCAAAUCCCAUUGUUCCACCAGAAAAGCGAUAUAGUCCUCCACCAAAGACAAGUAGCUCUACUUCUGCCACAUCAUUCUCUAUUGCAUCUCUUCAGCAAUAUACAAAUAGCUUCAGAGAGGAGAAUGUGAUAAGAGAGAGUAGAUUAGGAAAGGUUUACCUAGCAGAGCUUCCUGAUGGCAAGUUAUUGGAGGUUUUGAAGAUUGACAAUGCUAAUGGAAGAAUAUCAGUAGAUGACUUCCUAGAAGAGGUUGAAUGUAUCUUAGAUAUCAAGCAUCCUAACAUUCUUGAGUUAGUCGGAUACUGUGCUGAAUAUGGGCAGAGGUUACUUGUGUACAAUCACUUUAGCAGAACGACACUAGAUGACACACUUCAUGAUGGAGAGGAUACUGAAAGUGCACUGUCAUGGAAUGCCCGCCUCCAGGUUGCUCUUGGUUCUGGAAAAGCCUUAGAGUAUCUCCAUGCUAGCUUCCAACCUCCAAUUGUGCACCAGAAUUUUGAACCAGCUAAUGUGCUCCUUGACAAAAAGUUCUCAGUGUGUGUUGCUGAAUGUGGACUGGCAGAAUUGAUGCCACCAAGUUCAGUCACUCAGGUAAGCUAUAAUAUUGUGUUUCAUGUUUCUAGAACGACUAAAACGGGGAUAAUGCAAUCAUGGUUCUAUUUAGUAUUUACAUCUUUUCGCCAUGUCCAGUCUGUUUGAAUUGCUCACAUUACUAUGGUUGAAAUAUCUCAAGCUUUGAAUAUCAUCGUGAAUCCUUGAUUCAUAGGUGUUAAUGAUCAACACUUUUAUGAGGCUUAACAUUUACUUGUUCACUGUAGGAUAGUUUCUGUUGACAAGCCAGGGAUUUCCCAUGUUGUAAAUUGUAAUCAACUUAACUACUGCAAUUGCCUAUUGCCACAUUUCUAUCUUCUCAAUGUUUUUCAAUAAGUACAUUUAAUCCUUUAGCUAUUCUGUUGUUCAUAGCAAGCUAAUAUGCUUUACUGAUGGUGGGUGCAAAGGCCCUGUGGAACCUCCAGUGCUAGGUCUAGUGGCUGUGACUGCAGUAGAUCUUAAUCAAAAGGCUAACCCCAUUGUAGAUUUGGCAUGUAAUUAAAUCGCUUUCUGUUAAUGCAAUGACACACAAUGUUUUUGAGUGUUCGAGGAAAAAAUAUUUGAAAGGCCUGGAACAGAGUAACUGAAUGUUGAUGGCAAAAAAUCAUGUAAUAUAUGCAAAUAAGGUCUGUACAACGGGGAUGAUGGAAUGGUGAUAAUAAAUCCACUACUCCAGCAACUCCUUGUAGCUCACUGUCAGGUCGGAUGCGUGCAUUACUGAACUACGAAGCACCUGAGUUGCAGGAUUCUGGGGUCGUUUCAGAAAGGGGUGAUGUAUACAGCUUUGGUGUAGUGAUGCUGGAACUUCUUACUGGGCGUAAACCAUAUGACAGUUCACGCCCGCGUCAUGAGCAACAUCUUGUUAGAUGGGCCAGUUCUCAGCUUCAUGACAUAGAAUCCCUGUCCAAGAUGGUGGACCCAUCUAUACGUGGACAAUGUUCUGAGAAAGCAUUGUCACGUUUCGCUGACAUAAUCAGCCGCUGUAUCCAGCAGCCAGAAUUCAGGCCACCAAUGUCUGAAAUUGUACAAGACCUAGCUAGACUUGUAAAUGCCACCGGUGAGGAAUCAGAGUAACCCCCAAAAAAAGCAUGGAGCCAUGGAAGGCAUACAAUACAAACGUCGCGACCAAGUUACGUGCUGUACAAUUUUUUUGGGAAGAUAAUUGUCUUGCUUGGUCUGGGGAGAAUACUGUGAAGAUGUAUUUUCCUCAGAGAGCAUUGCACACUAAUGUCAGAUUGGAAUUUCAUUUAGACCUGGCUGGGGAGUGGAGGUGCAGCCAUCUGUGCACCUGAUUGUUGAUCAAAUCCAUGUAAUAUUUUUGCAGACAUGAUAUUAUAUAUAGCGACAGUGGCGGAGCCUCCGCCAAGCGCCAAGGCCCGGCCUGAUCGGGCACGUGUCCAGGCUUCCGCCGAGGAACACUUGGGUGGGCUCUCGAUCGGCCUAGCACACGGAUGUUUGGAUGGGUCAGGCAGUGGUGUCGAUUUCAGGCCGGCUCCGCCACUGUACUGUAUAGCAAGGUGUAUAUAUAGCAAGACCCCGGAUUCUUGUAAUAAUAGUCAGGGAUUCGUUAAAUUUGUUACUCUAAAGCUAGUCAUUUACUUGUUCGCCCGUUUA